rnacentral:rRNA from 1 species
ACGAACCGAGCGAACGUUGUUCGGAAUCACUGGGCUUACAGGGUGCGUAGGCGGCCUGACAAGUAGGGUGUGAAAGCCCCCGGCUCAACCGGGGAAUAGCGCCCUAAACUGUCGGGCUGGAGUGAGAUAGGGGUGUGCGGAACUUCCGGUGGAGCGGUGAAAUGUGUUGAUAUCGGAAGGAACGCCGGUGGCGAAAGCGGCACACUGGAUCUCAACUGACGCUGAGGCACGAAAGCCAGGGGAGCGAACGGGA